CCUACUCUUGCCUCAACAGUGUUUGGACAGAAUGG
rfam:Otolemur garnettii contig105816, whole genome shotgun sequence.